AUUGCGAAGGCAGCUUUCUGGAUCAUUACUGACACUGAGGAACGAAAGCAUGGGUAGCGAAGAGGAUUAGAUACCCUCGUAGUCCAUGCCGUAAACGAUGUGUGUUAGACGUUGGAAAUUUAUUUUCAGUGUCGCAGGGAAACCGAUAAACACACCGCCUGGGGAGUACGACCGCAAGGUUAAAACUCAAAUGAAUUGACGGGGACCCGCACAAGUAGUGGAGCAUGUGGUUUAAUUCGAAGAUACGCGCAGAACCUUACCAACACUUGACAUGUUCGUCGCGACUCUAAGAGAUUAGAGUUUUCGGUUCGGCCGGACGAAACACAGGUGCUGCAUGGCUGUCGUCAGCUCGUGUCGUGAGAUGUUAGGUUAAGUCCCGCAACGAGCGCAACCCUCACUUUUAGUUGCCAUCAUUAAGUUGGGCACUCUGAAAGAACUGCCAGUGAUAAGCUGGAGGAAGGUGGGGAUGACGUCAAGUCCUCAUGGCCCUUACGUGUUGGGCUACACACGUGCUACAAUGGCAUCUACAACAGGAAGCAAAACGGCAACGUUAAGCAAAUCCCGAAAAGAUGCCUCAGUUCGGAUUGCACUCUGCAACUCGAGUGCAUGAAGCUGGAAUUACUAGUAAUCGUGGAUCAGCGUGCCACGGUGAAUGCGUUCCCGGGUCUUGUACACACCGCCCGUCACACCAUGGGAGUUGGUUCUACCUUAAGGCAAGGUUUCAAACCCUUGACCACGGUAUAGUCAGCGACUGGGGUGAAGUCGUAACAAGGUAACCGUA
rnacentral:rRNA from 1 species